AUAUAAAAUACACACGAGUGUUGUUAGACAUCACACAAUAUCAUCAACAACAAAAACAUCUUUCUCGAGCUUUCUGUUUUCCCUUUUUUGUAAAAUGGAGUUUGAGAUUUCUAAACGAGUCCAGUCGGAGGAAGGAGAAGAGAGUUUAAAAGAGGAACAAGUGUGUAAACAGCUACAACUGAAAUCGUCUGAAACGCAAACGCAGGCGCUGAACAAAAGAGCGGUCCUGAACCGCAUCCGCGACCACAAAUGUAUUCACAAAAUCAAGAGUCUUCUCCUCACCACCGCAGGUAGUAACAAGGGAUCCACCGUCGACGCUGAUAGCCGAUGGAUUGAUAGUGGGGAUGUCUUCUCUUGCCCGUGAACUCGGCUUAUACUUUGACACGUGUCUCGAUGAAUUAAUGAAUCACCGUUGAUCUCUAGCGAUUCUUUUUAUUGGGAUUCGGACGCAUGCAACUGGUGAUUAUUAGUUUUAUUGGGCUAUAUUAAAACCAUUCAAGCCCAAUAGUACAGA